rnacentral:rRNA from 1 species
AUGCAUGUCAAAGAACAACCAUUUUUGCAAGGACGACCAAAUAGGAAUGUAGUUUGUUUACCAUAUUGCAUAAACUCCUAUUUGCAAAAAGAUGUAGAGAAGGGUUUGAUUCCAUCUCUUGUAACGACAUUGAUCAAGAUUUACACCGCCAGGCAGAAGACCCGGAAGAACAAGGGCGUCGAGCCCUCCAAAUUCGAGGCUAGCAUCGCGCAGGCUUUAUUUCACUUCGAGAAAGGCAAUCGUGAGCUCAAGGGUGACCUCAAAGACAUGUACAUCAACACUAGAAUUCCAGAUGAUGUUGUUGGUAACAGGAAGGCCGUUCUGGUCUAUGUGCCAUACCAUCUGCGCAAGACCUUCAGGAAGAUCCACGACAGAUUUUUUUGCUCUUUUCAUUAUCCACUCUUCCUGUUUUAG